GGUGAGAUGGCCGAGCGGUCUAAGGCGCCAGACUAAGGCAGUUGCGUUGAGCUGUUUAUCUGGUCUCUUCGGGGGCGUGGGUUCAAAUCCCACUCUCAUCA